rnacentral:rRNA from 1 species
GCUAGCCGUCGAAGGUGGGACAGAUGAUUGGGGUGAAGUCGUAACAAGGUAGCCGUAUCGGAAGGUGCGGCUGGAUCACCUCCUUUCUAAGGA